ACUCUGCACCAGAGUCCAGGAACCCAGGGCCUCACCACCCUAGUCUAAGGCCGCACUGCACAACUUCAGCAUUUGGAGGCUGGAAACCACCCCACCCUACUACCUCAGCACCUGCUUCUUCCAAGAUGAGAAGGGUUCCACAUCCAAUGCCAAGUAAAACAGCCAUUGUCUGUGCAGCCCUGAGACCACAGUCUGGAUCCGGAGAUGAUGAUCAUGAACCAGCCAGUGACGGCCACAUCGAUGGUCAGUUUACGCGCCCUUCUUUCGUCUUUCUCAGUCUUGUCUCCACUGCUACUGCAAGGAAAAGUGUGGGAAGCAGCUACCUCGUGCUGGCUCCCUACCCUCUUCUAGAAAUACACCUGAAACUGUUCUGUCCUCUAGGUUAAUUAUGGAACCAAACUAUUUCACAAUUGGGGCUCACUGUAACUCCCCUCAUCAAUUUCUGCCACCCAUUUUUGUCUUCAAUUUAUAUAGGAAAGGAGGCAGCCCCGCGUGAUGGCACAGUCCUGUAAUCCCAGCACUUGGGAGGUGAACACGCCCCCCACUCCAGGGGGUGCGGAGCGAAACCGAAAACAGGCUACCUUUAUUGGAAUUGGGAAUGUAAUUUUCUCUACUAAAUAUAUGUUAAUACUGGCAACUGGUCACACUGUAUGGAGCAAAGAUGAGGUGCAGACCGUAUGUGUCCAUGAGCUUCCUAGGUGCAAUGCCUGUCCUGGACAACCGCUCACGUUCCGUUUGCACUCUGGUAGAUCCAUCCUGCGUAGGAGAUCUUCCAGAGAACAUAUUAAAGCAGCCUUAGCAGGGGCGAGUCGGGGCGAUGGCCAGCCCCAGGACAAUGCUGUGACUGAGCCCCCGCUGAAUUUCCCGCUCUGCUAGCCGCUCUCUGGGGCUAGAGAGCGAUGACUCAGCCCGAGCCGAGGAUUGGGGAUAGGGGUGGAGAACCGAAGGAACGAAAGCGAAACCAGAGGGCACGGGGAGUAGGGGAGGAAGGACAACAGGACUCCUAGAUCAGGAAGCUAACCUAGGCAGGAAAACCUAGAGAGAGGGCACGAAGAGAGCUGCAGGGGUGCUGGGUACCACACCUCAUCUACAUUCAUCUACAUUCAUCCGCAUCCCCGCCGUGUGCACGCGCCGCCCGUGGCCACACCCCCCAGCCGCACUGCCUUUGUCAGGGUGGAUUGGGCCUGCUUGGAUAAUCAUCCGCUGCAGAGGCCUGGGGAAUCUGGCCUGAGCCUGAGUCUAGAGAAGGGUAGACUCAGCCGGGUUCCCAGGGGCGGGCGGACAGGCCGAGACGGUUUACCCUGCGCACCACAGAUGGGAACUGAAAGCCAAACAGAUCUGCCUCCUGGCUGAAUCUGGAAGGCACUGGCGAAGUUUUCACAGAAAUUUUUUUGUAAUGUAGAUGAAUGGGUUUGAGAACAGCCUGGUCUACACAGUUCCAGGUUAGCUAGAGACCCUGCCUCAAAAUGAAAUAUAAAGUAGGAAAAUUAAAAGCAAACAAACAAAAUCCUUAAGGCCAGGUGUAUGCCUUCAGUAGGGACAGUUUGGUCUACAGGGCAGAGGCAGGAAGAUUGCUGGGAAUUUGAGGCCAGGUUGGGCUACAUUGUAAUAUGAGUUAAAAAAAUAAUAAUAACAAAAAGAUGAAAAUGUAUCUAGGAACCAUAGCGUUUUGUGAAUCUAGUUAUUGAUUUUUUUUUCCAGACAAGGUUUCUUUGUGUAGCCUUGGCUGACCUCGAACUCGCAGAGACCUUUUGUGAGUUCUGUCUCUCAAGUAUUGGUAUUAAAUCAUCACCAUCAUCACCA
rnacentral:lncRNA from 1 species